UGCCAGCAGCCGCGGUAAUACGAAGGGAACUAGCGUUGUUCGGAUUUACUGGGCGUAAAGAGCAUGUAGGCGGAUUGGACAGUUGAGGGUGAAAUCCCAGAGCUCAACUCUGGAACUGCCUUCAAUACUUCCAGUCUAGAGUCCGUAAGGGGGUGGUGGAAUUCCGAGUGUAGAGGUGAAAUUCGUAGAUAUUCGGAGGAACACCAGUGGCGAAGGCGACCACCUGGUACGGUACUGACGCUGAGAUGCGAAAGCGUGGGGAGCAAACAGGAUUAGAUA
rnacentral:rRNA from 1 species